ACACCUCAACUCUCAUGGCCUUGCCAUGACGAGCUUGGACUUUGGGGGUCUUGCUGGCCUAUUAUGGGUCAGCUCCUUUCAAAUGAAUCAGCUUGCCAGUGUUUGGUGGCAUCACAGGUGUGAUAACUAUCUACGCUUGUGGUUUUCCACCGGGUAACCUUCAGUGAUGAAGGUUCGCUGGGGCUCAUAAAAGUGUCUCUCCUCACCGAGGACAGCUCUUUGAAC
rnacentral:misc_RNA from 1 species